AUUGAACGCUGGCGGCAUGCCUUACACAUGCAAAUCGAACGGUAACGGGCCUUCGGGUGCCGACGAGUGGCGCACGGGUGGGUAAUACAUCGGAACGUGCCCGAUCGUGGGGGAUAACGAGGCGAAAGCUUUGCUAAUACCGCAUACGAUCUACGGAUGAAAGCAGGGGACCGCAAGGCCUUGCGCGGACGGAGCGGCCGAUGGCAGAUUAGGUAGUUGGUGGGAUAAAAGCUUACCAAGCCGACGAUCUGUAGCUGGUCUGAGAGGAUGAUCAGCCACACUGGGACUGAGACACGGCCCAGACUCCUACGGGAGGCAGCAGUGGGGAAUUUUGGACAAUGGGCGCAAGCCUGAUCCAGCCAUGCCGCGUGCAGGAUGAAGGCCUUCGGGUUGUAAACUGAUUUUGUACGGAACGAAAAGCCUUCUUUUAAUACAGGAGGGUCAUGACGGUACCGGAAGAAUAAGCACCGGCUAACUACGUG
rnacentral:rRNA from 1 species